rnacentral:rRNA from 1 species
ACUCCUACGGGAGGCAGCAGUGGGGAAUCUUGGACAAUGGGCGCAAGCCUGAUCCAGCCAUGCCGCGUGAGUGACGAAGGCCUUAGGGUCGUAAAGCUCUUUCAGCUGUGAAGAUAAUGACGGUAGCAGCAGAAGAAACCCGCCUAGCUACCUCGUGCCAGCAGCCGCGGUAAUACGGAGGGGUUAGCGUUGUUCGGAAUUACUGGGCGUAAAGCGCGCGUAGCGGAUUAGUCAGUCAGAGGUGAAAUCCCAGGGCUCAACCCUGGAACUGCCUUUGAUACUGCUAGUCUUGAGUUCGAGAGAGGUGAGUGGAAUUCCGAGUGUAGAGGUGAAAUUCGUAGAUAUUCGGAUGAACACCAGUGGCGAAGGCGGCUCACUGGCUCGAUACUGACGCUGAGGUGCGAAAGCGUGGGGAGCAAACAGGA